rnacentral:siRNA from 1 species
AGGUUGUCCCAAGUGC